CACCGAAAGUCAGUAAGAAUCUUUUAUGGAGUGGAGAGUUUGGGAAAACACCUCAAAAAAGAAGGUAUAUUUUUUAUAAAAAUAAAAAUUAGCCAGAGACCGAAAGCGCACAAGUAGAGUGAUAGAAAGAUGAAAAGCACCUGAAAAGAGGGUUAAACAGUACGUGAAAAUAUUGAAAGGGAAGAGAUUUAACCAAAAUUGGGCGCGGCGGAUCAUCCGGGGAUUUUCCCGGUGCAUUUAGCCCCGUUCCCCCAACAUCAAUUAGGCGCGGGGGAAAAAAAAAUUGUGAACAUGGCUCUCUCAGGGAGAAGAUAACCCGAAAAAUAAAACCCAGCGCGGGGAAGAGGAGACGC
rnacentral:rRNA from 1 species